GCUUCACUGUAAAAAAUACAACUUGCCUUUAGUACUGCCAAAUAACUUUUCUGACUAAACAGAACUCAAAUAAUCAAAUAGUGUAGUAAAACUCAUUAUAACAAGUUUUCACAACUAAUUUGGGAAUUUCACCUAACAAACUUAAGAAACUGAGUUGACUCAACUUGUAUAAUUAAGUAUCUAUAAGAGAGAAGUUUCCCAAAGUUCACUGAACUUCUUAGUCAAGUUGGCGCAAGCGCAUUGUUUCCUAACGUAUCAAGGCGACCUGUGGGCUGCAGCUUGAAUUUGUCAGGAGGACAGAAGCCAGUAACCUUCCCUACCUGUAUGCAGCGUGGAGCAAAUGACAACAGCAUUGUCAAAGACUCUUCUGUUGCAAUGCAAUGUAAGGAGUGUCCAUUUUCUCACCCGGAUGUAGAGACCCUACUGACCCAUUACAGGCUUCAUCACGGUCACCAGGGAAAAAGCUGGCUCUGCCUCCACCCCAAGUGCAUGUGCAUCUUUAAGACUUCAGGAUGCAGAUGCUGAGGAGGACUAGAGGCAUGAAAAUUGGAAUCUUGACCGUCAUUGAAGACGACCUCGCCAUGAAAGCACCAGACACUGUCACCAAUAUCACCAUCGUCCUGGAAGAGACUGUUGUUCUACAGGACACAAGGAUCUUCCAUCUGCACUGGCCUACCUAUGCGGACUCCUGCAUGACAUGGGGUGCCAAUACUUAUGACCCCUGUAUUUUAAGGAAGAACAUUUAUUUAUUUAUGAUACAUUAUUCAUUCACAAAGAAAAUCGGUGUCCUUAAAUGUUGGAUAUUCCCUCAUUUUUUAACUUAAGGCAUUAAGAUCAAUUUCUAAAAGAUGAUUUAAUAUUCCUCUUUUUAGUCCGCGUUAGCAGAGGUGCCAAUAAUUCUGGAGGGUACUGUAGGUCAGGGGUGUUCAAACUGGCUAAAA